AGAGUUUGAUCCUGGCUUAGGACGAACGCUGGCGGCAUGCCUAACACAUGCAAGUCGAACGGGGGUAGCAAUACCCUAGUGGCGAACGGGUGAGUAACACAUAAGCAAUCUGCCCUUCACAGGGGGAUAACAGCGGGAAACUGCUGCUAAUACCGCAUAAGACCACGGUACCGCAUGGUACAGGGGUAAAAACGAAUCAGUGGUGAAGGAUGAGCUUAUGUCCCAUUAGCUAGUUGGUGAGAUAACAGCCCACCAAGGCGACGAUGGGUAGCCGACCUGAGAGGGUGAUCGGCCACACUGGAACUGAGACACGGUCCAGACUCCUACGGGAGGCAGCAGUGGGGAAUAUUGGGCAAUGGAAGGAAACUCUUACCCAGCAAUGCCGCGUGAGUGAAGAAGGUCUUCGGAUUGUAAAGCUCUUUGAUUGGGGACGAAGAAAGUGACGGUACCCAAAGAACAAGCCCCGGCUAACUACGUGCCAGCCGCCGC
rnacentral:rRNA from 1 species